CUCGACGACAACUUUGCCUCCAUUGUGACGGGCGUGGAGGAGGGUGAGAAAGCGGUGUGGGCUGUGUGACAUCCAGGAUGUCUGAAGCCAGACCUUCUGCUUCCUCUGACUUUUACUCUAAGAUUCCAGGCUGCUUCGGGUUUUAAACCUUCCUCUUAGAAAAUUGAGCAGCCAGCCGAAGUCCAGGGGCUGGGGUGGGGAGGGUCCCUCUAAUCUCCCUGAUGCCCUUAGAACCUCUCCACAGGGCGCCUGAUCUUUGACAACCUGAAGAAGUCCAUCGCGUACACCCUGACCAGCAACAUCCCUGAGAUCACCCCCUUCCUGCUGUUCAUCAUUGCCAACAUCCCCCUUCCCCUGGGCACCGUGACCAUCCUGUGCAUCGACCUGGGCACAGACAUGGUUCCUGCCAUCUCAUUAGCAUACGAAGCGGCUGAGAGCGACAUCAUGAAGAGGCAGCCACGGAACUCCCAGACGGACAAGCUGGUGAACGAGAGGCUUAUCAGCAUGGCUUACGGACAGAUCGGCAUGAUCCAGGCUCUGGGCGGCUUCUUCACCUACUUUGUAAUACUGGCAGAG
rnacentral:lncRNA from 1 species